AUGGGUGAUGUGGUGAAGAAUUCUGGGUAUUUUGAAUCCAUCACGAUUACAAGUAUGAAAUGUAAACCUGAGAGCAGCUGCGCUGAGAACAUCCCAGUCCAAGGCUCCCUGGAGACUGAGAGGAGGGAGAAGUCAGAAGAGCAACUGAAGGAAAAGUCCAGUCCCCUGAGCUUAGCGGAACAACAGGCUGUUACCUUCCGAUCAGACCUCACACAGAAGCCCCCAGGACCAGGCCAGGGGCAACUGCUGAGGAAGCAAUGUGUCAGCUCAAGUCUUACCCUCUAGCAACCUUUUGGUAAGGGUCAAAACUUUCUGGACGAUCUGAGGGGUUUGAAGACAUUAAAAUUAUUUUUGAUUGAAUUUUAAGUUAUCUUUCUUAACUUUGACUAGCAACUCCAGAUUUUAAGAUCAUUGCCUAGCAUGUUGGAUACUGACCAGUUAAGUGAGAGGAACCAUUCAGGUGGACAUAUGAAUAUCCACCUUUAUUACUGGAGAAGCUGAACUGAAGAACCCAGCCUGAGUUGGCAACCAUCCUCCCUCCCAAAUGCCUUCCCCACCCACUUCCCAUCCAAGACCACAUGGGACCACAUGGGUCUGCCCUAAUUAUGACAUCAGUUAGGGUUUCAUAUUCUCAAGAUGCAGGGAAGAGAGAAAGACCACAAAUGGAGGGGUAUCGCUUUUAAAUAUUAACUACACCUAGGCCAGUCACAUGGCAUCCUCCAAAGAUGUACAUGCUCCUCCAGAAAGGCCAAGAAUUUUACUCUCGAUAAGAGUUCCAUUGAUUGGGGCGCCUGGGUGGCUCAGUGGGUUAAGCCUCUACCUUCGGCUCAGGUCAUGAUGUCAGGGUCCUGCUUCCCCCUCUCUCUCUGUCUGCCUCUCUGCCU
rnacentral:lncRNA from 1 species